GCUUAGAGUUUGAUCCUGGCUCAGGAUGAACGCUGGCGGCGUGCCUAACACAUGCAAGUCGAGCGGACUCUUCGGAGUCAGUGGCGGACGGGUGAGUAACGCGUGAGAACCUGCCUCUAGGAGGGGGAUAACAGCGGGAAACGGCUGCUAAUACCCCAUGAGCCGUAAGGUAAAAAGGAAUCCGCCUAGAGAGGGGCUCGCGUCCGAUUAGCUAGUUGGGGAGGUAAAAGCUCACCAAGGCGACGAUCGGUAGCUGGUCUGAGAGGAUGAGCAGCCACACUGGGACUGAGACACGGCCCAGACUCCUACGGGAGGCAGCAGUGGGGAAUUUUCCGCAAUGGGCGAAAGCCUGACGGAGCAACGCCGCGUGAGGGAAGAAGGCCUUUGGGUUGUAAACCUCUUUUCUCAGGGAAGAAGUUCUGACGGUACCUGAGGAAUCAGCCUCGGCUAACUCCGUGCCAGCAGCCGCGGUAAUACGGAGGAGGCAAGCGUUAUCCGGAAUUAUUGGGCGUAAAGCGUUCGUAGGCGGCCGUUCAAGUCUGCUGUCAAAGUCCGAGGCUCAACUUCGGGAAGGCAGUGGAAACUGAACAGCUAGAGGUCGGAAGGGGCAGAGGGAAUUCCCAGUGUAGCGGUGAAAUGCGUAGAUAUUGGGAAGAACACCGGUGGCGAAAGCGCUCUGCUGGGCCGAACCUGACGCUGAGGGACGAAAGCUAGGGGAGCGAAUGGGAUUAGAUACCCCAGUAGUCCUAGCCGUAAACGAUGGAGACUAGGUGUUGCCUGUAUCGACCCGGGCAGUGCCGAAGCCAACGCGUUAAGUCUCCCGCCUGGGGAGUACGCACGCAAGUGUGAAACUCAAAGGAAUUGACGGGGGCCCGCACAAGCGGUGGAGUAUGUGGUUUAAUUCGA
rnacentral:rRNA from 1 species